GACGGGGCCCGCACAAGCGGAGGAACAUGUGGUUUAAUUCGAUGAUACGCGAGGAACCUUACCCGGGCUUGAAAUGUGACCGACGACCCCGAGAGACCGGGGUUUCCUUCGGGCGGUCAUGUAGGUGCUGCAUGGUUGUCGUCAGCUCGUGCCGUGAGGUGUCGGCUUAAGUGCCAUAACGAGCGCAACCCCUUCCGCCGGUUACCAUCGGGUCAUGCCGGGGACUCCGGCGGCACUGCCGCCGCAAGGCGCGAGGAAGGCGGGGAUGACGUCAAAUCAGCACGGCCCUUACGUCCGGGGCCACACACGUGUUACAAUGGGGGGCACAGCGAGCUGGGGGAUGGCGACAUUCCCCGAAUCACGAAAUCCCCUCCCAGUUCGGACCGGAGUCUGCAACCCGACUCCGCGAAGCCGGAUUCGCUAGUAAUCGCGCAUCAGCCAUGGCGCGGUGAAUACGUUCCCGGGCCUUGUACGCACCGCCCGUCAAGCCAUGAAAGCCUGGGGCGCCUGAAGUCCGUUGCGGCGACGCGCGGCCGAGGGCGAUACAGGUGAUUGGGGCUAAGANGUAACAAGGUAGG
rnacentral:rRNA from 1 species